rnacentral:rRNA from 1 species
AACGCGAAGAACCUUACCAAGGCUUGACAUGGAGUUGAACGGUUUAGAGAUAGACCUUCCCUUCGGGGCAAUUCACACAGGUGGUGCAUGGUUGUCGUCAGCUCGUGUCGUGAGAUGUUGGGUUAAGUCCCGCAACGAGCGCAACCCUUAUUUUUAGUAGCCAUCGGGUGAAGCCGGGCACACUAGAAAGACAGCCGUGGAUAACACGGAGGAAGGCGGGGAUGACGUCAAAUCAUCAUGCCCCUUAUGUCUUGGGCAACACACGUGCUACAAUGGCGCAGACAGAGAGAAGCGAAGGAGCGAUCCGGAGCAAAGCUCAAAAAAGGCGUCUCAGUUCGGAUUGUAGUCUGCAACUCGACUACAUGAAGCUGGAAUCGCUAGUAAUCGCAAAUCAGCAUGUUGCGGUGAAUACGUUCCCGGGUCUUGUACACACCG